rnacentral:rRNA from 1 species
UACAGAGGGUGCAAGCGUUAAUCGGAUUUACUGGGCGUAAAGGGCGCGUAGGUGGUUGUGUAAGUGAGAUGUGAAAUCCCCGGGCUCAACCUGGGAACUGCGUCUUAUACUGCAUAGCUUGAGUACAUGAGAGGGUAGUGGAAUUUCCGGUGUAGCGGUGAAAUGCGUAGAUAUCGGAAGGAACACCAGUGGCGAAGGCGGCUACCUGGCAUGAUACUGACACUGAGGCGCGAGAGCGUGGGGAGCAAACAGG